AUAAAAUCAGACGAACUACAAGUAUAACAAUCAGUAAAUCCUAGACAAAAACAACAAACAACAUGAAUAAAAUUGAGCUCUGCAUUAUCAACCUGGAAGCUGAUGAGUUAUAUUCUUGUCCAAACUUCAAUUCCUUACUUGCUAGAUGACUUGUACGCGUCCAGUAUCAACUUUGUUUGGUCCCUAAUCAACUCCGUCCUCUUCAGGAAAAGCUCCAGUUCCGCAAGAUACAAUUUCUUCCACUCUUCCUCCAGCUCUGUUCUCUUGGAUUGCCCUAUUAACUCUAAUCCUGGCUUCAAAAAACUUUCCGGCAAGCCAACAGCACCCAAAGACCUUUCGAACGCAACAAAACCAUCCAUGCAUCCUGAAGGAGCCUCGCUAUCAUCGAUUUUCAUCUUAUCAUCCUCCUUCGG
rnacentral:misc_RNA from 1 species